rnacentral:rRNA from 1 species
UACAGAGGGUGCAAACGUUGCUCGGAAUUAUUGGGCGUAAAGCGUCCGCAGGUGGCUGUGUAAGUCUGCUGUUAAAGAGUCUAGCUCAACUAGAUAAAGGCAGUGGAAACUACACGGCUAGAGUGCGUUCGGGGCAGAGGGAAUUCCUGGUGUAGCGGUGAAAUGCGUAGAGAUCAGGAAGAACACCGGUGGCGAAGGCGCUCUGCUAGGCCGCAACUGACACUGAGGGACGAAAGCUAGGGGAGCGAAUGGG